CGUCUAAAGGAAGGUUGGACUCUGGAGUUGAAUACACACACCACAAAUAAGUUACUGAGAAUUCUUCUGUCGAACAUUACAUGAAGAAAUCCCGUUUCCAACGAAGGCCUCAAAGAGGUCCAAAUAUCCACAUGCAGACUUUACAAAGACAGUGUCUCCAAACUCCUCCAUCAAAACAAAGGUUAUACUCUGUGAAUUGAACGCACACAUCACAAAGUAGUUUCUGAGAAUGAUUCUGUCUAGUUUUUAUACGAAGAUAUUUCCUUUUCUACAUUUGGCCUAAAAGCACUUGAAAUCUCCACCUACA
rnacentral:lncRNA from 1 species